UCAGGGAGCCAGUGGGUUAGGUUUGGGGAGGACAUGGUACUGCAAAAGAAGCACUGGAUUUCAGAGCCAAAGGAGGUUCUUCCCUUGACUUUUGGGUGAGGUCACUCUUGCUUUCUGCUUAAACCUCACUCCUACUACCAGUUUCUGGCUGAAAUGUGUGUGUAAGAGAAUUUGCUGGAAAAACAUUAGUCCAGUGAACAGGAAGAAAGACGAAAGGAGAAUGAUAAGAAUAUCACCUGUAGGGAGCGCGGCCUUCUCCUGACACCUCUAAUAACCCCACUCAAUCCUGUGAGGUUGCUGUGGACACACGUUGUGGAGGAAGCCAGCCAAGAUGGUAAAAUUCUGACUACCCUGAGAACAUGGUGCUGUGUGGAAGCCCAGCCUAGCUGCAUGGAGAGAGAAAGACAUCCAGUCAGUCACCAGCUCCUCCAGGCAUCCACAUGCAGCACCAGGCAUGAGGGUGAAGAAGCAGAUCUGAUUGUGGGCUGUGAAGGCAUGUCUCCAGAAUUGCCUCAGCAUCAGAGCUGGCUGCAAGUUUUAAAGCCAUGGGAAAGUUCGGGACCUAGAGAGAGGGCAGAAGACCAGAUGUGCCAAUGAUAUGGUUCACAGCCUAAGAAGGGAUGAUUUUGCCAGUGAUUGAUCCAUUGACCUCCAAGCCAUUUCAAGGACCGAUAGGAGGUGGGAUGACUCUGUCAUGCUCCAGAGACCAAAGAGGGGAUGGAAGGGACCAGCAGAAGACAAGAGACCAACAGAGAAUAAGGUUGUACUUUUGAUUUUAUCCCCAGUAAACCGGUCAUGAAAGAGUUACCCCAGGAGGAGUCAGCAAACAGAACUAAACCAGCAGCCUAGGCUAAUGAUGACUUGGUAACUUGGCUGGGCCCAGAGUCUACAAAGCAGGAAAACCUUAGCAAUUAUUCCCGUCAACAGGACUCUGACGAUGAUGGAGAUUCAAGCUAAGUCUUGGUAGCUGCUACCACACGUGAAGGUGGUAUAAGCCAGAGCCAAGGUAAAACAUUUCAGUUUGCUGGGUGUGUAUACAUUCUGUUUCCUUCUCAAGA